AACAUAUUUAGGUGUAGACUCCUUGCUUGCAAAAAGGUUGAGAAGAAGAAGUAGAGGAGGGUUGACCCAGCUGAUGUUUACAAGUCCAUAAAUCCAAGAGCCUUUUCAGGACCCCUCAUGGCCAUGGCCUCUUCUCAAGGUUUCCUGAGAGUAAUCAAAGACUUUCCACUUCUUUGUUUAAGCAAGAAGUCAAUGCAAGUCAUCAAGACCAUUGAGAGUUUUAUCAAAUGGGCAGAUUCACACUGAAUGGAAAAGGUGCCAUUCUUAAAAUCCCCACAGAUCCAUGUGGUAUAUGUCCUUAGUGUGAUCAGUUUUCUUGUCCUCACUGAAAUUUAGGCUUUACACUAACCUCCAGCAGCUGUUACUUCCAUUUCACAAAGACGACUCAAUGGAAACCACUGUCCCUCUUCUUUGUCUCCCCCAAGACACCACUCAACUCGAAUAUGUUUCCAAUAGAUUUCACUGAAGCUAAAGUUCAACAGAGGAGGCUGGACAACACUUUAAAUUAACAUGCGUCACGACACACCCUCUUCUUAGAAGUUCUCUGCCGCUCCGGCUCACACAACGUUCUCAUUGGCUGGCAUGUCUCAGGCAACCCUUUCCCGGAGCCUUUCUGCUCAGAUCUUCCAGCACCACCACAGACAAGGGAAGGGGGAAUUCAAAGAAUACAAUACAGAAAUUUUCUAGAUAAAAAGCCAUCACCUCAGUCAGAGUUCUUUUUAAUUCACCAAGCUCAAGAUUCUUGGAAACAGAAGAAAGCAAGGCCGGCCAUCAGCUUCAGGUGCCAGUUCAGCUACUGAGAGCCAGGGGUUGGGGUGGCAGGAUGAGCCCGCCGGCUCAGCAGAAAGGAGCCAGAGUGAGCUCUGAGGACAGAAGCUUAUGUCCCUUUGUUAUAUCCAUCAGGGUAACCACUUCAAACCUGUCCAUGGAGCAGAUAAUCAAUCAAUACAA